GUGUCGAUUUUCACAAGUUCCCCCUAUUCCCAUUUGAGACCUCCUUCCUCAUCUGGUUUCGUUGGAGACGAAAGAAGACCUAGAGUUGUGUUUGCUGAAAAUCAUGAAACUUGACUCUUUUAUUGUCCGUUUGUGGGAGUAUCGUCAGGACUAAGUACUUGGAUCCUUUUUCCUGACGUGGUUCAUCACUUUCGGAAGAGAGGAAGGAAUAAUAACUGCGUUGUGGUUGCUUUGUAGUUUUUGUUGUUCAUUUGCCACAAACCAUGUACCUGUAUUGCUUUUCGUCCCUUUCUGCGAGUGCACUUUCUAUGUUGUGAAGAAAUGCAUUCAGGAGCAAAUUGUGGGCAAGUCCAAAUCAUGGGAGGAACACCAUUUCAAUCACACAAAGCCAGUUAAUAUUGAUCCCAAAGUUGAUCUCCCAAUGAGUCAAAUUGUGAAACAUUGGAAAGCACUCUUGGUUGAACUGCAAGAGUAGUAAAGACAAAACAUGAAUUAUUGUUAAUAUUUUCUAAAAGAAUAAUGUUAAAAAUGCACUCUUUUAAGACUCA